rnacentral:rRNA from 1 species
CUUUACUGUAGCUUGGAAUUGACUUUGGGUUUAUUUUGCGCAGUAUAGGUGGGAGGCUGUGAGGUUGUGCUUGAGGGCACAGAAGAGCCGUUAGUGAGAUACCACUCUAAUUAAACUAGAAGUCUAAUCUUGACGCCGUUAUCCGGCCAAGACACAGUUUCAGGUGGGCAGUUUGACUGGGGCGGUCGCCUCCUAAAGAGUAACGGAGGCGUGCAAAGGUUCCUUCAGGCUGGUCGGAAAUCAGUCGUAGAGUGUAAAGGCAUAAAGGAGCUUGACUGCAAGACCUACAAGUCGAGCAGAGACGAAAGUCGGCCUUAGUGAUCCGACAGUACUGAGUGGAAAGGCUGUCGCUCAACGGAUAAAAGUUA